rnacentral:lncRNA from 1 species
CCACUGCCCUCCAGCCUGGGUGACAGAGUAAGACUCCAUGUCAAAAAAAAAAAAAAGAAAGAAAAAAAAUUGUUAAAAAGAGUAUAUCUUCCUCAGAAGGCCUAAUGACUGUGAGUAACUUGAGGUCAAAGAACACGUUUAUUUUUUGCCAUAAAUUUUAGCCUAGCAGAAUGACUACAAUAUAAAUAUUCAACAUCUAACACAUUUGUUAUUUUUUACUAAAGCAUGAAGGAAACAACAAAGUUUAUUUCUACUCAUACUAAGAAAACAAUGACUUAAAAUUAGAUCACAAUUAGAAUUUGUUGCUUUGUGAGGUAGUGAGCUACCUAUAACUGGAGGUGAUGAAGCACUGGUUGUGAGCCAGAUCAAAACCCUGUCCUGGGGAGACAAUUGGGUAUGUCCAGGUGCAGUUGUUCAAUGUGAUUUAGUCCCUACCAGGAGGUCUGGUUGCCUGGGUUCAGAACAGCAGAGGAAAAAUUAGACAAAAGACACAUUCAGAAGUCAAGGUGCUCUGACAGUUCAGCAGACAUAUGACCUAACUUCAACCAGCAGACAGGAUCUGACCUAGGAAAGAUGAAGACAAAAACCAGAUCUCAAACAGAUGUAUUGUAGUUCAAGGUAGGGCAAUCAGACCUGUAGGAAGACUGAGCAGGCCACUGAAUUGGGCCCCCGAAAGAGAAGCCCAGACAUGAGGACUGGACCCACCCAGGAACUGGGAGUAAAGCAAUUUGGGGACAGUUGGGUCCUAGGCCUCGCCUCUAGGAAACCUGGAUUGCCCAGUCGGUGCUGAAGGUGUCUCAGAUCUGCUUGGAUCUAUAAUAUUGGACCUGGAUUUCAGGGGAAGUGUGUAUCUGGAAAUAAAAAUCAGAAAAUUUGGAGAAUAAAAGAACAAGGAAAAUUAAGGAAGGAUUUUUUUCAACCUUAAAAGCCACCUUGAGAAAUGAGAGAAGAGAGGAUUGGCUACUCGGUAUUGUGCUUUCUGCUGUCUACCUAGAAGACUUGAGGAAGAAGCCCCUUCACAUUCAUCAGUCACUUGAAUGACAUGAAAGACAGGAUGUUUCUUGCACUAACACCCGUGUGUUCAAAUGGAAAACCUCAUGUAACAGGAAGCCUCGCUAGCAAAAGACUAAUUUUCUGUGAAGUUCUGGCUAAACUAAGGAAAAGUCUGAUUAAGAAAGCACUUCUAAAGAAAUAAGCCUUUAUUACUUUCAAAUAUACACAGUAAAAGAACUAGAGGCUUCUCUCCUGGGAGCUUCUAAGAAACUACUUUUAUUGGCUGGGGGGUAAUAUGUUAGCAAUAGAUGAAAUCUGAUUGUGACAUAUCAAUUGUAUGUAAAUUAGCAUUUCUGCUAAGAUUGUUUGAGAACAGUUUACUUUCAUAAUUGACUGAAAAAUGCUUCUUUCAAUUUUGCUGACACUAGUAAUGCAUCUGGCAAACUUUCCCUUCAGAGAAGUGUCAGGUUAAGCUUUAUCCCAGGUACUGUUUCAAACAAACAUAAACUCUAAUUUUGUGAGGCCCAUAUUAAUAAGUCUUUUUUAACUUUUUUUUUUUUUUGAGACAAGGUCUCACUCUCUCCCCCAGGCUGGAGUGCAGGGGUACAAUCAUGGUUCCACUGCAGGCUUGACAUCCCAGGCUCCAGUGAUCUUCCCACCUCAGCCUCUUGCAUAUCUGGGACCACACCCACAAUGCCCAGCUAAUUUUUUUUUUUUAAGUUUUUUGUAGAAACAGGUUUUACAUGUUGCCCAGGCUGGUCUCAAACUCCUGGGCUCAAGCGAUCCUCCCACCUAGGCCUCUCAAAAUGUUGAGAUUAGAGGUGUGAGCCACUGCACCCAGCCAGGCUUUACAAUUUUUAAAUAACUUUCAGCACAAAUACUUGUGAACCAGAAACAUUGGUUGAAAAUAUCUGUAACUUCUUUCUCAGCUCUAAAUUACUGAGAAGCAAAUGGAACCACAUGUUACAAAUAUUUCACAAGAACCAGUACCAUACUUUUAAACAUCUUGAUUAUGAUCUACUUGACAGUCAUAUUUGAGUUGUUGCUCUGUGUAACAUAAGAGUUGGGCUACACCUUCAGAAUAACUGGCAAAGCACCACCAACUGGCUGUGUCCUGAGAGGCUACCCAGCAACCUGGCUUUUUGUCUGAGUAUCAGACGCCCACUCUUCAUUGGACCAUAGAGGUUUUUCUCCCUAGUCCUCACCUCCAGCUCACUCCACCAAGUUAUUAGGAGUCUCUGAAAGAAACACGGAACACCCAGAGCAGAAAGCCAAUUUCUAAUUGGGCCAUCAGAUAGGGAAGAAAUGACAACUUCAACAAGAUUUCUUGUGAUCCUUGAGAGAUUUUCUAUGCAGGUACAGUCACAUUUAUGUCUUUUAAUAAUAGAGUUCAUCCAUCAUACAAGAUUGAUGAUCCCUGCAGAAGUUAAAAGUCUAGGAAUAAGAAAUUUGCACUUUAAAGAAGUCUUUCCUUUGUCUUACGGCUUCCAGAAUUCCUGAUGAGGAGUCUGCUAUCAAUCUUAUCUUGUGGCUUUGAAGUGAUAAUGUCAUUCUCACCUGUAAUCCCAGCACUUUGGGAGGCUGAGGC